UGUCUGGUGUCAAUCUUUGUACUAUGAACACAUGACUUGAAAUUAUAAAUGUUAUAUUUGUUAAAUGUUGGAAAGUUCUAUAAAUAUACUUUAAAAAUUCAUU